AUUGAACGCUGGCGGCAGGCCUAACACAUGCAAGUCGAACGGUAACAGGAAGAAGCUUGCUUCUUUGCUGACGAGUGGCGGACGGGUGAGUAAUGUCUGGGAAACUGCCUGAUGGAGGGGGAUAACUACUGGAAACGGUAGCUAAUACCGCAUAACGUCGCAAGACCAAAGAGGGGGACCUUCGGGCCUCUUGCCAUCGGAUGUGCCCAGAUGGGAUUAGCUAGUAGGUGGGGUAACGGCUCACCGAGGCGACGAUCCCUAGCUGGUCUGAGAGGAUGACCAGCCACACUGGAACUGAGACACGGUCCAGACUCCUACGGGAGGCCGCAGUGGGGAAUAUUGCACAAUGGGCGCAAGCCUGAUGCAGCCAUGCCGCGUGUAUGAAGAAGGCCUUCGGGUUGUAAAGUACUUUCAGCGGGGAGGAAGGGAGUAAAGUUAAUACCUUUGCUCAUUGACGUUACCCGCAGAAGAAGCACCGGCUAACUCCGUG
rnacentral:rRNA from 1 species